rnacentral:rRNA from 1 species
UACAGAGGGUGCGAGCGUUGUCCGGAAUUACUGGGCGUAAAGAGCUCGUAGGUGGUUUGUCGCGUUGUUCGUGAAAUCUCACGGCUUAACUGUGAGCGUGCGGGCGAUACGGGCAGACUAGAGUACUGCAGGGGAGACUGGAAUUCCUGGUGUAGCGGUGGAAUGCGCAGAUAUCAGGAGGAACACCGGUGGCGAAGGCGGGUCUCUGGGCAGUAACUGACGCUGAGGAGCGAAAGCGUGGGGAGCGAACAGG